GAUGAACGCUGGCGGCAGGCCUAAUACAUGCAAGUCGAACGAGAUUAAGAGGCUUGCUUCUUAUGAAAGUGGCGCACGGGUGCGUAACGCGUAUGCAACCUACCUUAAUCAGGGGGAUAGCCCGAAGAAAUUCGGAUUAAGACCGCAUAAAAACACAGGAUAGCAUUAUCCAAUGUUCAAAUAUUUAUAGGAUUAAGAUGGGCAUGCGUGUCAUUAGCUAGUUGGCGGGGUAACGGCCCACCAAGGCGACGAUGACUAGGGGAUCUGAGAGGAUGACCCCCCACACUGGUACUGAGACACGGACCAGACUCCUACGGGAGGCAGCAGUAAGGAAUAUUGGUCAAUGGAGGGAACUCUGAGCCAGCCAUGCCGCGUGCAGGAAGGCAGCCCUCUGGGUCGUAAACUGCUUUUAUUCGGGAAUAAACCUUUCUACGUGUAGGAACCUGAAUGUACCGAAGGAAUAAGGAUCGGCUAACUCCGUG
rnacentral:rRNA from 1 species